CAUAGCCACGUUAACUGUGACAAGGAAGCCCAUAAUCUGCUUAAGGUCACAGCAAAUUUCAAUACAUUUUGCAGCUGUCCCCCAAAAGGGAUUAAAACUUGUUCUCACCUUAAAUAAUUUAAUCACCUGAAUUAUGUGCUUUAUUGCUUAUUUGAAAUAUGGCAGUAAAUUAGAAAGUAGGUGCUUUAAUUGUAGCUUUAUGCCUUUGGGAUAAGAAUAAUUGGAAGUCUGUGAAUGUUUGGUUUGGGGACUGGGGAGCCAAGGGUAGAAGCUAUAUUGGUAUAUCUGUCUCUCACUGAACUUUGAAAUCCCAGUAAUGUCUUAUAUAUGGUGGGAACACAAGAAAUAUUUGUUGGAUGCAUUUACUUGGAAGGGAAAUGUUAAUUGUUUUGCUGUAGUACAUCAUCUUGUAGUCAGCAUUUCUGGGUUCGAUUUUUGCAUGAAAACAUGUGUUUAUGUGUGCCUAGUCCCUAAAUACCAUGAAGAUUUACAUUGCCUUAUGCAACUGGAUAUUUUCCAAAUGUAGACUGUUCUUUGUUAGCUCUAUAUGAGGUCAGAAAAGAAAAACAAUAAUAAAGGAAACAAAAUUGCUUUUCUUGUCCAGGACUUUUUUUAUGAAGACAUGGAGUCCUUGACGCAGAUGCUUAGGGCCUUGGCAACAGAUGGAAAUAAACACCGGGCCAAAGUGGACAAGAGAAAGCAGCGGUCAGUUUUCAGAGAUGUCCUGAGGGCAGUGGAGGAACGGGAUUUUCCAACAGAAACCAUUAAAUUUGGUCCUGAACGCAUGUAUAUUGAUUGCUGGGUAAAAAAACACACCUAUGACACCUUUAAGGAGGUUCUUGGAUCAGGGAUGCAGUACCACUUGCAGUCAAAUGAAUUCCUUCGAAAUGUAUUUGAACUUGGACCCCCAGUGAUGCUUGAUGCUGCAACGCUUAAAACGAUGAAGAUUUCUCGUUUCGAAAGGCAUUUAUAUAACUCUGCAGCCUUCAAAGCUCGAACCAAAGCUAGAAGCAAAUGUCGAGAUAAGAGAGCAGAUGUUGGAGAAUUCUUCUAGAUUUUCAGAACUUGAAGACUAUUUUCUAAUUUCUUUUUUUUUUUCUAUUUCAAUGUAUUUAAACUCUAGACACAGUUUUUAUCUUGGAUUAACUUAGAUAACUUUUGUAGCAGUGGUUAUAUUGCUUAUAAUUUAAUGUACAAUACUAUUGAAACUGGUGAGUUCUGAUUAUUAAAUAUUCUCUGUAAAUCAGUAAACAUGUAUAAAGUAUUUGUAAUGUUUGGUCAUAAUUUAUUUAUGAAGACAGCAAAAGACUGAUUUCAUGAUGGGGAAAACAAUUAGCCAAAGUUUAAUUUCUUACACUGUGGUUGUCAAGAAUACUGAUUUACUAUAAUGAUAUAUACAUGCAAGAUAUUUAACUUAAUAUCUUAGAUAAGAGUUCUGGGUACAAUUUUGGGAUCUAGUUCCCCUGGAAAAGCUGCUGUAUUUUUAAUUUUUAAUGGAAUGUAGCUUUUAAAAUCCUGUCACUGGCAUCAACAAAAGGAAUUAUACUAUGAGACCUUAUAGCUGUACUUAAAAGCCAUUCAGUUCAGCUAUUGGGAGUUCAUGAUGAAUUAGCAUAUGCCAGAAAGGUUGCUAACCUUAACAUCUGAGAGCAGUAACACUGAUUUUAUCUGCUGUAUGAGACUUUGUGCAUUUUACUUUGAAAUAAAGAUUUUUUUCCACA
rnacentral:sRNA from 1 species